ACGUAAUUAUGCUGUUGACGGUUACUGCACAUUUCUUCUGGUUGUUUGUUUUUGAAAAUCGUUUAAAUGUAAGAUUAUAAAACAUAAAUAACAUGUAUGACCGUUUUGUCCUUCAUUAUACAUCGCAGCUAUGCUUUUCUCCUUCAUUAUCCAUCUGAGCUGAUCCUGGGAUUGGAAAUGCCCGCGAAAAAAACAGUAUUCUGCGCGUGAUCGGUGACCUCUUAUUUGUUUAUUUAUUUAUUUAGGAAAGGGGGCGUUUUCCCAACACCUCCAGAAACGCCCAUUUUACGUCGUGGUAAUGAAACCCCUGGAAUUUAGUGAAUACCUACUGAAAAAGCUCAAAACCAAAAUGUUAAAGAUUUGUCCACCCUAGAAAACAUAUGGCUGAAAAACAUGAGCUGUUUGUGCCAAGUUUGGUGUUUUUAUGUAAUCACCGUUUUAUACAGGUCAAGAAAUUCAGUUAAUGUUCACAUCAAACAUCAGAAUAAAGAAAAAGUGUUAUCUCUGUGACUUUGAUCAUGGUGUGGUUGUUGGUACCCCAAUGGCUGGUUUGAAUAUUUCAACUGCUGAUCUCCUGGGAAUUUCACACACAACAGUCUCUAGAGUUUACCCAGAAUGGUGCAAAAAACAACAAAAAAAAAACAUCUGUGAGUGACAGUUCUGAGGGUGGAAAAGCCUUGGGUUCCACUCCUGCACUGUAAGACCGAAAAGUAAAAGUUUGUCAAAGAAACUGGGUUUUGUUAACUCAGAAAUUUUAAAAAGUUGAUUAACCUUUAAUAUUCUGAGUCAUUUGUACUGUUUUUUAAUUUUAAGUUAAGAGUGAUCAAGUCUUUUGAGUCAUUUUUGUCAUUGUACUCAAAUAUUUUGAGUUUCUGUCUGACGUCACACACUUUAAACGCGAACCUGCGGGAAAGUCCGCCAUGUUUGCUCUGCUCGCAUCGUGGAGAAACGAGGAGAAAAGUUUUCAACCUGUGAACAGCUUGGAUAGUUUUCGAAGUUAAAGCAGAAAUCCCGUGGGAAAUACGUUGUUGCAGUGACAUUUCAGGUGAAACGUGCCGAGGCAUGCAGCCGUUAUCUCAGCUGGACCAGCUAACCUUCUCCAACAUGCUGACUGCUCUGAUCGCCGGUAUACUGAUCUUCUCUCUGAGCGCGCUCAUUGGCUAAAACUGAAGCAACUGGUUGAUGUACGGAGUUUUCAAUCAGGAACUACGAGUGCUGGUACAGUGAGCACUUAAUGUCCUUUGAGCUGACAUCAUCAAGCAGCUUCUCUGUGCAUCAGCUGUCAGAGCUAAAUGACACAGACUGAAGAUUUCUGCCCUUAAACUGGAGUCACAGAUCUGUGCUGAAUUUCACAGAAUCACAAACAUGAAUCUGAAGAACCACUUCUGUGCUCUGUUGGACCAACAUGCCCCCCGUCUUCAGAACUUAUUCAGGAAGAAGGCUGCUCGCACAGGGAAAGUAGCUGAAGUUCUGGAUCAGCUGUUCAGGAUUUAUGACCUCCAGGAACAAGUUGAUGUUCAUGUGAGACGUGCUGCUGUCCUUCAUGCUCUCCCUGCAUAUCUGCAUGAGGACGACUCAAGAUUUCUGAAGCUGUGGGAUGUAAAUCAACACAUUAAUUCUUUAGAAUUUAUGCAACAGUUCAUCAUUCAUCUAUUUUUGUGUGUCAAAUAUUGAACAUUAACUUUAUAAGAAUAAAUUAAAUACAAAUUUUACUAUUUACUAAUUUUAAAUAAAUGUUCAAUCUUUUGUUUAAAGUGUGUGGACUGUAGUCAUUUUGAAGGUUGUUGAACUAUAGAGUAUAGUGUUAUGCUAGUUUCUGAAAUUCAGUUUACCCAACUGAGUAGAAAUGCAAUGUGAUUGGAAAACAACAUUUUUUCCUUUAUACAUUGUAUAUUACACUGUUGCACUUGAAGCAACAAUGGAAUUUUUUUGUUUAUUUAUUGAACGUGAUUGAUAGAAUUAUACAGCUCUCUGGCUGUUCUCUGAUACAGACAAGCGACAAAUUAAAUGUUUAUAUAAUGAGAGGAUCUGGGAGAUCUGUUAUGCUGUGGGCAGCAAUUUGCUCAGGUGGGGUCACUAAUUGGUUUAAGUAUGAAAAUAAUGUGAAUCAUAUGCUGCAGUCUUCGCAGUCACCAGAUUGAACACCUACGGGACGUUUUGGACCAAACUGUUAGACAGUGCUCUCCAACCCUGAAUGGUUGACCCUUACACCAUUACUAUAAGGCUCAAGAAUUCAGAGUUUUUUAAUUUGUCACUCAUCUCUGUCACUGUUGGGCCUAGAUGAUGGGAAGUUGAGGCCCAGGGUGUUGAGUCUUAAAAAUGACCUUUUUGCAGUGGAGUAAUCUGACAGUAAGUUGCUCCAUUACUUGAAGAUGGUGCACAUGCACUACAGUCACUUUUGUAAUACUUUAACGCAAUGGAAGUUGCACUUUUUGUAUUUUUUGUUUUGUUUUAUAUUUUAAACAUGUGUUAUGUUAUAUUGUUCACAUUUGAGUAUGAAUGUGUUCAUGUUCAACUUGAAGAAUUAUUGUUGUGAAGCAGUACAACAACAAUUGGCCAUUACUUUGAUCUCUGUAGGUUAAUUAGGUCCAUGUGGCUUAUCAGUUAGCUGAGUUGUUUAUGGUAAUAUACCUGUUUGAUUAUUUACAUACAUAUGUUUACCUUUAGCAUCACAUUUGAAAGUGCUUUGAAUUUGUAAGGUAUUCAUUUUGCUUAAGUAAUGAAGGACAGUCUUCACCAUCAUUAUUUCACCCAUAAACGGUCUGUUAAGUGAUUUUCCACUAAAAUGACAUGCAUGAAUCAUGCAUUGAUAAAAUUACAUAUACCACACAUUUGUACACAAAUCGAAGUGAUGCUCAAAAAAACUUUACUUAGGCAUUUGUACUAUGUUUAAAACACUGUCAUUUGAAUUUCUGAUGUUACUGUUUUGAUGUAACUUUUGAUGGAUCUGAUAGAAGUGAUUGGAUUUGGGUGAUAGAACGUACUGUAUACUGCAUCAUAAAACAAAAUCGCGAUAAAUAACAAUAUCAGAAUCACAGUAUACUGUGCUCAAGUAUUUUAUUCAUGUUGUCAGCUUCUAGAAGUGACAUUUUAAAAAAUUUUAAGGCAGUUUUUCUUACUGUUUCACUGUUUGUGAAGAAUGUUAUUUCCAUUAGUCAAACAUUUUUGAGUGAG